CGAUAUGCAGGUGUGUUCAGGUGAGACAGUACUGUGUUGUUUGCAGGUCUAGCAGUACGCAGGUGUGUUCAGGUGAGACAGUACUGUGUCGUUUGCAGGUCUAGCAGUACGCAGGUGUGUUCAGGUGAGACAGUACUGUGUCGUUUGCAGGUCUAGCAGUACGCAGGUGUGUUCAGGUGAGACAGUACUGUGUCGUUUGCAGGUCUAGCAGUACGCAGGUGUUCAGGUGAGACAGUACUGUGUCGUUUGCAGGUCUAGCAGUACGCAGGUGUGUUCAGGUGAG